rnacentral:rRNA from 1 species
AACGAACGCUGGCGGCAUGCCUAACACAUGCAAGUCGAACGAGACCUUCGGGUCUAGUGGCGCACGGGUGCGUAACGCGUGGGAACCUGCCCUUAGGUUCGGAAUAACUCCCCGAAAGGGGUGCUAAUACCGGAUAAUGUCUUCGGACCAAAGAUUUAUCGCCUUUGGAUGGGCCCGCGUUGGAUUAGCUAGUUGGUAGGGUAAAAGCCUACCAAGGCGACGAUCCAUAGCUGGUCUGAGAGAAUGAUCAGCCACACUGGGACUGAGACACGGCCCAGACUCCUACGGGAGGCAGCAGUGGGGAAUCUUGGACAAUGGGCGGAAGGAUGAUCCAGCAAUGCCGCGUGAGUGAUGAAGGCCUUAGGGUUGUAAAGCUCUUUUACCCGGGAUGAUAAUGACAGUACCGGGAGAAUAAGCUCCGGCUAACUCCGUG